GAGGGGGAUAACUACUGGAAACGGUGGCUAAUACCGCAUAACGUCGCAAGACCAAAGAGGGGGACCUUCGGGCCUCUUGCCAUCAGAUGUGCCCAGAUGGGAUUAGCUUGUUGGUGAGGUAACGGCUCACCAAGGCGACGAUCCCUAGCUGGUCUGAGAGGAUGACCAGCCACACUGGAACUGAGACACGGUCCAGACUCCUACGGGAGGCAGCAGUGGGGAAUAUUGCACAAUGGGCGCAAGCCUGAUGCAGCCAUGCCGCGUGUAUGAAGAAGGCCUUCGGGUUGUAAAGUACUUUCAGCGGGGAGGAAGGUGUUGUGGUUAAUAACCGCAGCAAUUGACGUUACCCGCAGAAGAAGCACCGGCUAACUCCGUGCCAGCAGCCGCGGUAAUACGGAGGGUGCAAGCGUUAAUCGGAAUUACUGGGCGUAAAGCGCACGCAGGCGGUCUGUCAAGUCGGAUGUGAAAUCCCCGGGCUCAACCUGGGAACUGCAUUCGAAACUGGCAGGCUUGAGUCUUGUAGAGGGGGGUAGAAUUCCAGGUGUAGCGGUGAAAUGCGUAGAGAUCUGGAGGAAUACCGGUGGCGAAGGCGGCCCCCUGGACAAAGACUGACGCUCAGGUGCGAAAGCGUGGGGAGCAAACAGGAUUAGAUACCCUGGUAGUCCACGCCGUAAACGAUGUCUACUUGGAGGUUGUGCCCUUGAGGCGUGGCUUCCGGAGCUAACGCGUUAAGUAGACCGCCUGGGGAGUACGGCCGCAAGGUUAAAACUCAAAUGAAUUGACGGGGGCCCGCACAAGCGGUGGAGCAUGUGGUUUAAUUCGAUGCAACGCGAAGAACCUUACCUGGUCUUGACAUCCACAGAAGAAUCCAGAGAUGGAUUUGUGCCUUCGGGAACUGUGAGACAGGUGCUGCAUGGCUGUCGUCAGCUCGUGUUGUGAAAUGUUGGGUUAAGUCCCGCAACGAGCGCAAC
rnacentral:rRNA from 1 species